UGGCGACGGGUGAGUACCACGUGGGUCAUCUAACCUUUUCGGUGAGGAAUACCGGCGAGAAAUCGCCGACAAUACCGCAUAGCCUUCGCAAGAAGGAAAGUCGUAAGACGCCGAAGGAGGAGCCUGCGCCCGAUUAGCUUGUUGGUGGAGUAACGGUCUACCAAGGCGACGAUCGGUAGCUGGUCUGAGAGGAUGAUCAGCCACACUGGGAUUGAGAACGGCCCAG
rnacentral:rRNA from 1 species